rnacentral:rRNA from 1 species
UUUUAUUUGAGAGUUUGAUCCUGGCUCAGGAUGAACGCUGGCGGCGUGCCUAACACAUGCAAGUUGAGCGAUUUACUUCGGUAAAGAGCGGCGGACGGGUGAGUAACGCGUGGGUAACCUACCCUGUACACACGGAUAACAUACCGAAAGGUAUGCUAAUACGGGAUAAUAUAUUUGAGAGGCAUCUCUUGAAUAUCAAAGGUGAGCCAGUACAGGAUGGACCCGCGUCUGAUUAGCUAGUUGGUAAGGUAACGGCUUACCAAGGCGACGAUCAGUAGCCGACCUGAGAGGGUGAUCGGCCACAUUGGAACUGAGACACGGUCCAAACUCCUACGAGAGGCAGCAGUGGGGAAUAUUGCACAAU